CAAUGCUAAUACUUCCGGUACGAGUUUUCAGACUAUGCCUUGAACAAGUUGACAUGAAUUGAUCUUUUUAAAAUAUAUAUAAUAUAAUUAUGAUAAGUCGUGAAAUAUACUACAAGAUAAAAGAAGACAUCAGAAAGCACACACACUAAUGAAAUUGUGAGUUGCAGUUAAUAAUAAUAAUAAUAAAAGAAGCACCUUUAGGAAAGGGCGUCUGUUGAAGCUAAAGUAUAUAUUUAAAGCAGGAUUUGUUGGAAAUACAAACCAUAAUUUUUUCACCAUUAUAGUUUUACACCAUACUCAUUUACUCCUCUGUUAUUGUAAAUAUGUAAUCAAACAUGUAGGCAAACAUAAUUCUAGGGCCCCAAUAAGGCACCUGCUUUGACUUUCAUACUAACGUUACACACACUGCAAGCACUGAGGAGUUUUCCUCAGAUGGGAAUAAACGCGUAAAGAUACCAGCAACCAGUGUUCUCCCUAAGCAUUUUAUUUCUUUGAUGUUAAAGGCACGUUUACUCCCUACACUCUAGUUAACUUAACAGAUCGGAUGUACAAUCGCUUGUAAACUCAUACCGCUCCUCUUUUGGUCUUGUCCAAUCAGUAGGCUUAUGUGAACAAGUCGCAGGUGACGUCGUUCUCCGCAAAGGCUGUUGGGAAUUUGAGUCUUGAAGUGUUUGCUGGAGUCCAAAACUCCACUGCAUGGUGCAGAUAUAUAAUUUUAAGAGAAGAAAGGAGAAACAAAUGCAAAAACCAUCAUAGCCUGUUCAUCAUAAUUUUAUUUAUUUUAACCAAACAACUUAAUUAUAAAACAUCCCAAACAGCUUCAACCAACCACCAACUGGCUUUCCAGUAUUGUAAUAAAAAAAUAUCUGUGUUGCAUACCCGUCAGAUUCAGACUUCACUGAAAAAUAACUCUUUCCAUCUAUCGUCAUUGAACAAAUUACACUCUCAUUAUGACAUAUUCAUAUUAAAAGGUUAUAAAAAGAUACUGUGUAAUUAGGAUUAUAACAUUUGUAUAAUCUUAUUUGUAUAAUUUGUAUAAUUAUAACAUUUGUAACUAUGUACAUCCUCAGUUGUUAUAUUAUCCUGUAAACAAAUCAGUAUAACAGAAUCAAACACCACAAGGCGGCAGCGUUGUGUUAAUAGUGUAAAAUAAGUGUAUGGAGAGUAUACUCGGUUUUUUAAAAAUUGGAAAUAGCAUCUAAGGAGCUUAUGGUUGAAUGGUAGAUAGCAUGCAUGUUUCUUUCCCAACAUGCCCUGGAAGAGAAUCACAGCUCAUGGUGCAAAGCCCUUUGGUCUGAUCAUCAUCCUGACAGUUUUAAAAGACUGUCUGUCAUUGGUAGGGUAAUACUCUGCAGAUAUGUUAUGCCACGUCCCCCAGAAAAUCCCAUCCCGAACACCUUUGUACCUCCCCACAUGGUAUCUCCCGUUGAGGUUUGCAGCCAUGCAGGCAUCAAACCACCAGCCGGAGCUGUAGUAGGCCCCGCAGUUCCCGGAUGGAUAGCGGUCGUGGUCCCUGUCCGAGGUGGUGAACGCCCUGUUGUUGUGAUCAUAGGUUUUACUGAAGCGGAGAGCAUCACCUGCAGUACCCGAGUACCCGUCUACUGUCAGUCUGAAGCGCAUCCGUUCACUAGCCACCUUAAACUGCUCGUACUCUGCAUACUCCAUCACCCCGUCAAAGUCCUCCAGCUCCACCCGCAGCACCAUGUCCCUCUCCCGGGUCAGCAGGUGGAUCAUGUUGUUGCCCAGCCAAAACUCGCCUCCGUCCAACUCCCCGAAACCUGAUCGAUACUCAGCCCAUGUGCGGUUGAAGUUCACGCUGCCGUCCUGUCUGCGCUGCAGGAGGGUCCAUCCUCCUCCAUCCAGCUCCAUGUCACAGAAGACCGGGAAGCUCCUACUGCGGCGGUCAGGGGUCACCAGGUGAAACUUUCAUCUUGCAGCUGGGAUGUAGCCAUGAAAUAAGGUCACAAGUGCAGCAGACUAGAACAAACAUCUGACCAUCAGUCCGGCUUUGCUGCCACUUCAUCUCUCUCCACUUUGGGCAGAGGAGCCAGUGUCGUCGGUCAGGUCUGUUAUGUGCAUAAGUGUUCGAUUUCCAACUGAACUGGAGUGAACCCAACGACUGUCGUAGUGCAGCGCCAGCCUCUUGUAAUACCAGUCUGUCUGCCUGAAGGUAUAAACCUACCUGGACAAUAUUAUUCUACUGACUCACUGCUUGCAUGCCGAGAACAACUAAACAUUUAAUCAUUAAACAAAACAGUUACACAAUACAACACAUGCCUUAAUCCUGUGGAUCAGUGUGUAUCAGUUUAAAAUUAAUUGUCUCUUUCUUUCUCUCUCUCACACAUACAAACACACACACACACACAUAUAUAUAUAUUCACACCCAUUGCCAAUUCCUUAAUUCGUCAGUAACUCACACAUUCCUUUGCCAUGUGAGAUAAUGUCUCUGUCAUCUGUCAAUUGACUGAUUGUGAUUCUUGAAAAUAAAACAACCAGUGUCCCUCA